GGGCGUUAAGUUGCAGGGUAUAGACCCGAAACCCGGUGAUCUAGCCAUGGGCAGGUUGAAGGUUGGGUAACACUAACUGGAGGACCGAACCGACUAAUGUUGAAAAAUUAGCGGAUGACCUGUGGCUGGGGGUGAAAGGCCAAUCAAACCGGGAGAUAGCUGGUUCUCCCCGAAAGCUAUUUAGGUAGCGCCUCGUGAAUUCAUCUCCGGGGGUAGAGCACUGUUUCGGCUAGGGGGCCAUCCCGGCUUACCAACCCGAUGCAAACUGCGAAUACCGGAGAAUGUUAUCACGGGAGACACACGGCGGGUGCUAACGUCCGUCGUGAAGAGGGAAACAACCCAGACCGCCAGCUAAGGUCCCAAAGUCAUGGUUAAGUGGGAAACGAUGUGGGAAGGCCCAGACAGCCAGGAUGUUGGCUUAGAAGCAGCCAUCAUUUAAAGAAAGCGUAAUAGCUCACUGGUCGAGUCGGCCUGCGCGGAAGAUGUAACGGGGCUAAACCAUGCACCGAAGCUGCGGCAGCGAACGUAUCACCCAAGACAACUUUACGGAGUUGACGAUUGACGGAGCGAAGCGACGUCAAAGCGUUCAUUAAAGUCGAGUUGGCUUAGGGAUACGUUCGUUGGGUAGGGGAGCGUUCUGUAAGCCUGUGAAGGUGUGUCGUGAGGCAUGCUGGAGGUAUCAGAAGUGCGAAUGCUGACAUAAGUAACGAUAAAGCGGGUGAAAAGCCCGCUCGCCGGAAGACCAAGGGUUCCUGUCCAACGUUAAUCGGGGCAGGGUGAGUCGACCCCUAAGGCGAGGCCGAAAGGCGUAGUCGAUGGGAAACGGGUUAAUAUUCCCGUACUUGGUGUUACUGCGAAGGGGGGACGGAGAAGGCUAUGUUGGCCGGGCGACGGUUGUCCCGGUUUAAGCGUGUAGGUGUGUGUUCCAGGUAAAUCCGGUUCACUUUAACACUGAGGCGUGACGACGAGGCACUACGGUGCUGAAGCAACAAAUGCCCUGCUUCCAGGAAAAGCCUCUAAGCAUCAGGUAACACGAAAUCGUACCCCAAACCGACACAGGUGGUCAGGUAGAGAAUACCAAGGCGCUUGAGAGAACUCGGGUGAAGGAACUAGGCAAAAUGGUGCCGUAACUUCGGGAGAAGGCACGCUGACACGUAGGUGAAGUGAUUUACUCAUGGAGCUGAAGUCAGUCGAAGAUACCAGCUGGCUGCAACUGUUUAUUAAAAACACAGCACUGUGCAAACACGAAAGUGGACGUAUACGGUGUGACGCCUGCCCGGUGCCGGAAGGUUAAUUGAUGGGGUCAGCGUAAGCGAAGCUCCUGAUCGAAGCCCCGGUAAACGGCGGCCGUAACUAUAACGGUCCUAAGGUAGCGAAAUUCCUUGUCGGGUAAGUUCCGACCUGCACGAAUGGCGUAAUGAUGGCCAGGCUGUCUCCACCCGAGACUCAGUGAAAUUGAACUCGCUGUGAAGAUGCAGUGUACCCGCGGCAAGACGGAAAGACCCCGUGAACCUUUACUAUAGCUUGACACUGAACAUUGAGCCUUGAUGUGUAGGAUAGGUGGGAGGCUUUGAAGUGUGGACGCCAGUCUGCAUGGAGCCGACCUUGAAAUACCACCCUUUAAUGUUUGAUGUUCUAACGUGGACCCGUAAUCCGGGUUGCGGACAGUGUCUGGUGGGUAGUUUGACUGGGGCGGUCUCCUCCUAAAGAGUAACGGAGGAGCACGAAGGUUGGCUAAUCCUGGUCGGACAUCAGGAGGUUAGUGCAAUGGCAUAAGCCAGCUUGACUGCGAGCGUGACGGCGCGAGCAGGUGCGAAAGCAGGUCAUAGUGAUCCGGUGGUUCUGAAUGGAAGGGCCAUCGCUCAACGGAUAAAAGGUACUCCGGGGAUAACAGGCUGAUACCGCCCAAGAGUUCAUAUCGACGGCGGUGUUUGGCACCUCGAUGUCGGCUCAUCACAUCCUGGGGCUGAAGUAGGUCCCAAGGGUAUGGCUGUUCGCCAUUUAAAGUGGUACGCGAGCUGGGUUUAGAACGUCGUGAGACAGUUCGGUCCCUAUCUGCCGUGGGCGCUGGAGAACUGAGGGGGGCUGCUCCUAGUACGAGAGGACCGGAGUGGACGCAUCACUGGUGUUCGGGUUGUCAUGCCAAUGGCACUGCCCGGUAGCUAAAUGCGGAAGAGAUAAGUGCUGAAAGCAUCUAAGCACGAAACUUGCCCCGAGAUGAGUUCUCCCUGAGACUUAGAGUCUCCUGAAGGAACGUUGAAGACGACGACGUUGAUAGGCCGGGUGUGUAAGCGCAGCGAUGCGUUGAGCUAACCGGUACUAAUGAACCGUGAGGCUUAACCUUACA
rnacentral:rRNA from 1 species